rnacentral:lncRNA from 1 species
UCGUGACCUGAUGUAAACGUGACUGUUCAUGACUAGACGCAGCCACUAGAUGCAGCUGCAACGCUAUAUAUUGCGAUGUGGCUCUGUCACGAGACACGAGACAUACAAUACUCGCUCUCUAUACCACCUCCUUUAGCCUCUGUUCAGGUGUGCAGCUCACGAGACAUACAAUUCUUGUUCUUAAUCGUUCCCACCUCUCAUGUCUCUAAACAAGAUUUUGGCCAAGGUUAGUGCCCCAAGUGGCAAGGUCGUAGCUGUGGCUUAGUCUAGAUCCAAGUUCAUUCGCCCAAAGUUACGGAUUCCCUCCUCACGUAGCCAUUUGUAUUCUUGGUAAGGAUCCAUCCGGUCAUUUUUUUUUCAACCAUAAUUACCAUACAAUUCGUGAAGGAUAUUGAAGAUAACAUCCUA